rnacentral:rRNA from 1 species
AAGUGAGUUAGUUACAGAAUUUAAAUUAAUUUUUUUAUUAAAAGUUUUUAUAUUUAGUAGGAUUAACGAAAUUUAUGAAAGUAUAUAAGUACCGUAAGGGAAAAGAAAAUUAAGUAAUAGUAUAGGUUAGCUCUAGUACCUUUGGCAUUAUGGUUUAACGAGAAAUAAUAUUUUAUAAUGUUUUCUAGAAAGAGAAAGAGUUAUAUUUUAACAAUAGAUAAUGUAGCAUAAUUAUCAUUUAGAUUAAGGUAUGGUAGUGAAACGCUAUCGAAUUCUCUGAUAGCUAGUUGAGAGAGAAGGACAUUUAAGUGUUAUUUAUUAAAUAUAAUAGCCUUAUUAUUGUAUGUUGUUUUUUUAAUAAUUACAAAUUUUUUAGGACAAGCUAAAAAAUUCUGAAAAUCUUUUUAUUUGUAUUAUAUCAUGUAGAAUUAAUAGUGUUCAGCAUAUAUAUGGUUUUAUAACAAAUUAGAUAAAAAUUAUAGAUUUUGGUUUUCUAUGGUAUUUCUUUUUGGUAAAAAAUUAUUUUAUUAUUGAAGUUUAUGUUAAAAUUAGUAUUUUAAAAUUCUAAUUGUUUAGGUUAAUAGAUUGAGAACUAAAAAUGGAUAAAGAAUAUAAAUGAAAAAUAGGAACUCGGCAAAUCUGGAUUUCGCCUGUUUACCAAAAACAUCGCUCUUUGUGUAAGAUAAAUAAAGAGUCGUGCCUGCCCAGUGAUUAUUUAAUGACUGUGCAAAGGUAGCAUAAUCAUUUGCCUUUUAAUUGGAGGCUGGAAUGAAUGGCUUGACGGAUUCCUGCUGUCUUUUUUUUAUUAACUAGAAUUUAAUUUUUAGGUGCAGAAGCCUAAAUGUUAUUAAAAGACGAAAAGACCCUGUCGAACUUAAGAAUGAAAUUAGAAUUUUAUUAUUUCUAUAGGAUAGGAAUAUUUUAGUUUGUCCUUUUGUUGGGGUGACAAAAGAACAGAUAAAGCUUCUUUAAUUUAAGGUAACCUAUAAGUUAAAAUGAUCCGUAAAUUUACGAAAUAAGAAUAAGUUACCGCAGGGAUAACAGCGUUAUUUUUCUGGAGAGUUCAAAUUGAAGGAAAAGAUUGCGACCUCGAUGUUGGAUUAGAAUACCGAGUAGGUGUAGCAGCUUAUUUUGGGGGCCUGUUCGUCCUUUAAAUUUCUACAUGAUCUGAGUUCAAACCGGCGAGAGCCAGGUUGGUUUCUAUCUUUAAUAUAAAUAUAGGUCUAACUUUAGUACGAAAGGACCAAGUUAGCAAAAAUUUUUUGUAGUUGAAU